rnacentral:tRNA from 1 species
UGGCACAAUCUGUAGCGCAUUUGGCUGUUAACCAAAAGAUUGGUGGUUCAAGCCCACC